CUAUAAAUUACUCUUGAUAUUGUGGAAGUGGGCACUGAGGAAUCACACCAAGACUGUUUUGCAGAGGUGAAAUUCACUUUUGACACCAGAAGAUGUGCUGGUGAAUCCAUGGUAUAAUAACUGCCAGUUCUGCUUUAGGAGACAAUCCUGGAAGGCUCAGAAGUUACAGGGCAGAGAAAAGGAAAUGCACUAGAAGUUGGAUUUGUUAAUAGCUUUCUCUGACCCGUUAUGAAAUAUUUCAAAUUUGGUAGUUUUUCAGAAGAGUUUACAUCAGCAUUUUGAAGGAGGAUAAUGAGAUCACUUGAAGUCUCCAGAGCUGCUCCCAGGAGAUG
rnacentral:lncRNA from 1 species